UCCCGUUGGAUAUCAGCAAGUCAGAAUACACCUAGAAGUGGGGGUUGAUUAGGUGUCGCGGAUCACUUGUUCCACUUUUCCUAUAUUUGUGCAAAACUAAAACAGACUGUAGUUAAUCUAUUAUGCUUGGUCUUAAUCGAUUAAAAAGUGCUCGAAUAUAAUCGAUUAUGCUUGUGGAUAAUCGAUUAUCCUAACAUUCACACAACUUGAUUCUUUGGUUUCUUGCACAUAAAGUUACCAAUUAC
rnacentral:lncRNA from 1 species